UACGGAGGAUGCGAGCGUUAUCCGGAUUUACUGGGUGUAAAGGGAGCGUAGACGGCAUGGCAAGCCAGAUGUGAAAUACCGGGGCUCAACCCCGGGACUGCAUUUGAAACUGCCAUGCUGGAGUGCCGGAGAGGUAAGCGGAAUUCCUAGUGUAGCGGUGAAAUGCGUAGAUAUUAGGAGGAACACCAGUGGCGGAGGCGGCUUACUGGACGGUAACUGACGCUGAGGCUCGAAAGCGUGGGGAGCAAACAGG
rnacentral:rRNA from 1 species